AUUCCAGCUCCAAUAGCGUAUAUUAAAGUUGUUGCAGUUAAAAAGCUCGUAGUUGAAAUUUUGCAAGUGACAACUGGUCAUCUCUUUGAGAUUGUACUUUGUUUUCACUAGCAUAAGUCCGAUCCACUUGAUGGACAACCAUCAAGUAUUUGGAACUGUUACUUUGAGAAAAUUAGAGUGUUUCAAGCAGGCAUAUGCCAUGAAUACUCCAGCAUGGAAUAACAUUUAAGGACUUAAGUUCUUCUUGUUGGUUUAGGAACUUGAGUAAUGAUUAAGAGGAGCAGUUGGGGGUAUUUGUAUUUGGUAGUCAGAGGUGAAAUUCUUAGAUUUACUAAAGACAAACUACUGCGAAAGCAUCUACCAAGGAUGUUUUCAUCA
rnacentral:rRNA from 1 species